rnacentral:misc_RNA from 1 species
CCGAGUUUUCAACUCCCAAACCCCAUGUGAACUUAUACCAUUUACAACCGUUGCUUCGGCGGGUUCUCGCCCCGGGCUCUACACCCCGGAACCAGGCGGCCCGCCGGGGGACCCAAACUCUAGAUUUUUAUUUUAGCAUGUCUGAGUGGAAUCAUUACAAAAUGAAUCA